rnacentral:rRNA from 1 species
GACGAACGCUGGCGGCGUGCUUAACACAUGCGAAUCGAACGGAAAGGCCCUGCUUUUGUGGGGUGCUCGAGUGGCGAACGGGUGAGUAACACGUGAGUAACCUGCCCUUGACUUUGGGAUAACUUCAGGAAACUGGGGCUAAUACCGGAUAGGAGCUCCUGCUGCAUGGUGGGGGUUGGAAAGUUUCGGCGGUUGGGGAUGGACUCGCGGCUUAUCAGCUUGUUGGUGGGGUAGUGGCUUACCAAGGCUUUGACGGGUAGCCGGCCUGAGAGGGUGACCGGCCACAUUGGGACUGAGAUACGGCCCAGACUCCUACGGGAGGCAGCAGUGGGGAAUAUUGCACAAUGGGCGGAAGCCUGAUGCAGCAACGCCGCGUGCGGGAUGACGGCCUUCGGGUUGUAAACCGCUUUCGCCUGUGACGAAGCGUGAGUGACGGUAAUGGGUAAAGAAGCACCGGCUAACUACGUG